AAUCAACGCUGGCGGCGUGCCUCAGACAUGCAAGUCGAACGAUUAAAGCUCUCUUCGGAGAGUGCAUAGAGUGGCGCACGGGUGAGUAACACGUAAGUAAUCUACCCUCGAGUGGGGAAUAACGUCCGGAAACGGACGCUAAUACCGCAUAAUGCAGCGGCACCGCAAGGUGACAGUUGUUAAAGGAGAAAUUCGCUUGAGGAGGAGCUUGCGGCAGAUUAGCUUGUUGGUAAGGUAACGGCUUACCAAGGCUACGAUCUGUAACCGGUCUUAGAGGACGGUCGGUCACACUGACACUGAAUAACGGGUCAGACUCCGUACGGGAGCAG
rnacentral:rRNA from 1 species